rnacentral:rRNA from 1 species
AGCAGCCGCGGUAAUUCCAGCUCCAAUAGCGUAUAUUAAAGUUGUUGCAGUUAAAAAGCUCGUAGUUGAAUUUCGGGAUCAUCAGGUUGGUCGUGCCUCUGGUACGUACUUUCCUCGAUGGUUCCUCCUUCUUGAAGAACCGUAAUGCCAUUAAUUUGGUGUUGCGGGGAAACAGGACUGUUACUUUGAAAAAAUUAGAGUGUUUAAAGCAGGCAAUCGCUUGAAUACAUUAGCAUGGAAUAAUGAAAUAGGACGUUCGAUCCUAUUUUGUUGGUUUCUAGGAUUGACGUAAUGAUUAAUAGGGAUAGUUGGGGGCAUUAGUAUUCAAUUGUCAGAGGUGAAAUUCUUGGAUUUAUUGAAGACUAACUACUGCGAAAGCAUUUGCCAAGGAUGUUUUCAUUAAUCAAGAACGAAAGUUAGGGGAUCGAAGACGAUCAGAUACCGUCGUAGUCUUAACCAUAAACUAUGCCGACUAGGGAUCGGAUGAUGUUAAUUUUUUAAUGACUCAUUCGGCGCCUUACGGGAAACCGU